CCUACGGGAGGCAGCAGUGAGGAAUAUUGGUCAAUGGCCGAGAGGCUGAACCAGCCAAGUAGCGUGAGGGAAGACGGCCCUCCGGGUUGUAACCCUCUUUUGUCGGGGAGCAAAGCGAACCACGUGUGGUUCCUUGAUAGUACCCGAAGAAAAAGCAUCGGCUAACUCCGUGCCAGCAGCCGCGUUCAUACGGAGAAUGCGAUCGUUAUCCGGAUUUAUUGGGUUUACAGUGUGCGCAGGCGGAGGUGCAAGUCAGCGGUCAACUUGUGGGGCUCAACCCCGUACUGCAGUUGAAACUGAAUCCCUUGAGUGCGCGAGAAGUAUGCGGAAUGCGGGGGGUAGCGGUGAAAUGCAUAGAUAUCACGCAGAACUCCGAUUGCGAAGGCAGCAUACCGGCGCGCAACUGACGCUCAUGCACGAAAGCGUGGGUAUCGAACAGGAUUAGAUACCCGUGUAGUC
rnacentral:rRNA from 1 species